ACCUCUUGCCCUCACCAUAAGAGGCCCAGCCUGCCCAGUGAUUUUAUUCAACGGCCGCGGUAUCCUAACCGUGCAAAGGUAGCGUAAUCACUUGUCUCCUAAAUAGAGACUAGUAUGAAAGGCAUCACGAGACUUAUACUGUCUCCUCUCUCUAAUCAGUGAACCUAAUCUCCCCGUGAAGAAGCGGGGAUAAUUUUAUAAGACGAGAAGACCCUAUGGAGCUUAAAACAGUACUACACGUGCCACACAUAUUCCUUUACCAAGGUCCUAAUCCCAUUAGCACACUGAUUACAUGUUUUUGGUUGGGGUGACCGCGGAGAACAAACUACCCUCCACGAUGAAAGUGGUACUACCACUAAACAAUAAGCCACAACUUUAUCCAUCAAUAAACUGACAUUAAUUGACCCAAUAAUUUGAUCAACGAACCAAGUUACCCUAGGGAUAACAGCGCAAUCCACUUUAAGAGCCCCUAUCGACAAGUGGGCUUACGACCUCGAUGUUGGAUCAGGGUAUCCCAGUGGUGCAGCCGCUACUAAAGGUUCGUUUGUUCAACGAUUAAAACCUACU
rnacentral:rRNA from 1 species